AAUUUUUUUAUUUUUGUCUUUUGUCUUUUGCUGCACCCGAGGCAUAUGGAGGUUCCUAGGCUGGGAGCUGAAUCAGAGCUGCAGCUGCUGGCCUAUACCAGAGCCACAGCAACACCAGAUCCAAGCCAUGUCUGUGACCUAGACCAUAGUUCACAGCAACACCAGAUCCUCAACACACUGAGCGAGGCCAGGGAUCAAACCUGCAUCCUCAUUGAUACCAGUCAGGUUCGUUAACCACUGAGCCAUGACAGGAACUCCUAGUUGAAUAUUUUUCCAUCCUACAGGGGACUUCUUGAGUCAAAGUGUUAGGAAAGAAUAACAUUAGCUUAGAUUGCUAUGUUAAUCAGACUUUUUCAGUAGCAAAAGAUCAAAACCCAGACUAAACUAGUUUAAGCAAGAAAGGAAGCUAUAUCUACCUCAUCAUCAUCAUCUCCUCCUCCUCCUCUUCCCCCUUCUCUUGCUUUUCCUCUCCUCCUCCUCCUGGUCUUCUCUCCUUUUCCCUUUCAAUAUCUCUCCCUCUUUCUUUCUGUCUCCAAUGUGUUGACCCCAUUCUCACAUUGUAUUUGGUAGCAAAGGUGGCCAUUAGGAACGCUAGACAUGCAACAUGCAUCAUUCCUAGGGCUCGUAAUUCCAGAAGGAAAUAUUUUUUGGUUCUCUUUAUCCCUAUGUCAGUUUUAUUUCUUUGAAAGACUCUGAUUGGCUCUGUUUUAGAGCCUCUUUUCUCUCCAUUUAAGAGUUGCUCAGAGUGGACAGCCUGUGUGGGAAGGCUCUAUGAGAUUAACCUAGCAAGGUUACUGUCAAUGCCAGAAGAUGAAAGAAAUUCAAAGCAGGCAAAAAUGUAACAGGGCUCCCAACGACCACUACAUAUUUCUAAAUUACUUAGCAUAAUGGCAUGUUACAGGCUUCUGUCAAAUAUGUGUCUUAUUAAUCUUAACCGAGCCUAUCAACAUAUAGGUAAUAUUAAGUUUGUUAGCCCAAAUCUGUUCUCUAUAGCAUUGUAACUAUAAAACAUCUGUAGUAGAAAAUCUCAACCUUGAGUGUCAAGGAGAUUAAUUACAUGUUAUUAACUUUUUCCUUGAUCAUUUAAUAUUUGGCAUAUGUCAGGAAAGUCAACAUUUGGACUCAUUUAGGAAUUUGUCAUUUUAAUACUUAUUUUGGAUUAUUAGAAAUGGGAGUAGGAUAUAAAAAAAGGGAUGCUAAUUAUAUUCUAUGGUCUAGUGUCUACCCUAAGUCACCAUAUGUUUAGGCUGUUCUGUUACAGCAAAGUUUAUAGCCUUUCUACUUUCACCUCUAAUAUUAAUAUUAGCUUAUGUUGUUGAUUUUUGAAAAUAUUGUUUAUGAAUUGAUUUCUUCCCCUUCUACUGUCUUUAAAGAUAUAUGUGUGUAUAUGUAUAUAUAUAAAACAUUCUAAUCAUAUAGAAUCAAUAUGAUGGAUACAAUUAUAUACAGAUAUAUUUGUGUAUAUAUAGUUCUAUAUACAUAAAUAUAACACACAUGUAUAAUUACAUCUUUAUAUGAGUAUAAAGAUAAUAUGAUUUUGUAUGUUUAGAAUGUCAGAUUCUUAUCCUUUUUAGUCUUGUUUUUUAUCAUGGUACGACCUGGCUAAUUUUAAGCAUUUUACUACCACAAACUACAUUUAGGGAUCUUCUUCAAAGAGAAAAAGAUUAAUUUGCUAUGAAUAAUGAUUCUCAUGCAAAACAUUUUGGUGUUUUUUGUGAUGCAGAUGAGCAAUGCUAUAAAUAUAAUUUAGAAAGUUUGAAAAUUGAUUUUAACAUUCACUAUUCUUCUUCCGAAUUAAUCAAAUUACAAAAUUAUGCUGUGGUUUCCAGUAUAUUAAAAUAAGUUGUCAUAUUUGGAACAUCUGUUUAUGCUCCUAUUAUGAAUAUGGGUUUCUAAACAUCUGAACUAUAGAUUGCCAUAAAUAAUGUUUGUUAUUUAUUCUCUGGAAGUAUGAUAUCUACUUCCUCCCACAAUGCUUAUUUCCCACAAAGUAAAUCUUCCAGAUUGUUUUUAUCUUUUUCCUUAUCAAGAUAGAGCAAAAAAAAGUCAGGUUUUAGUUAAGUCUUGCUGAUUGGUUAAGUAAAGGAGGGCUGUCAUCUGCAGCCUUUCCAGACACUGUACCACGACUCCAAAUAGUCAGCUGGUAUUGUCGCUUUGUCUCAACUAUAAAUCAGUCUUGUAAUGGCCAAGGCUGACACCUUGACAUUUUCAAGAAGAGUAAAAGAACUGAUCUGAAUGGAAAUCAAUUUUAUUUCACAAAUCUUGGGUUACUACUCCAAGCCUUUUCUUCUUGUGUCUUCUUGAGACUUACCUGGGAUUUUCACGAUCAUCAAAGGAUUAUUUGAGUUGUUUGUUAUACUAUCACAUCUUUUAGCUAUAGAACCAUAUCCUUACUUCCUUCUUCGAUCUUAAGAUGGAAAACUUUAUUUUUAAAAUUUUAUAUAAUAAAAAAUCACCAAUAUGCCAGAUUUCAUUUUAACCAUGACAUAUUGAUAGUUUAAAAAUGUGGCAGUAGCAGCAAUUGCCAUUGGUUUUGCAGAAUUUUCCCUAAAUGUUCUGUGAUUUAAAAAUACCAGCUGUGUAUACAUAUAUCCAGAUUAAUCAUUGAUUAUACAAUGAUACAUAAUAUCAUUUAUGGAGUGAUUUUUGAACUUCAAUCUACCAGGUCUCAAGCAUAGAAUCCUCUGAAAAAUGUUUUUACUUUUAUAUUCUUGCACACAAAAAGUAGUGGCAUAGAAAAAAACUCCACACUUGACUAGUGUGAAAAGAAGGUCUUUAUAGAUCUUUUAGGAACUUGGCAUUAAAUGUUUAAAAAAAAAAUUAACUACUCUGGUAUGUCUUCCACUUUAGGAGAACACUGAAAUUUCCUUAAAACUACAGAGGGGAAGAAACUUGUGCAUCCUUAGUAUUUUUGCUUGCCACCUCAACAAAUAUGAUCUCAAUUCAAUGUAACCUUAGCUCUAAACAUGUUAUUAAUCAAGAAUUUGGGCAUCACCCCUCUUCUUGUCAAAUAUGGAAAAAUUACCACAAUGCCUGCCAGUGAUUUCUCUUUAUCAUCUUCAUUAUUAGUCUUUCAUUUUGUUGAAAACCUCAUUUCUAAACAGGAAUGUGCUUUGAUUGCUAAAUUCAUUAUGUUGCAGUGCUCCACAAACAAAUGGAGUUAUAGACGAUUACAAACAGGAGAUUUUCAACCCUUAAAUCUUUUUAUCCACCUAUUCAUCCAUUCAUUCAUAAUCUAUACAAAACAAGACUUUAUGCUAAGAAUGUGUGAAAUACUAAAUAAAGUUAGAAAUCCUUCUUCACAACAUACUAUAUUUUUACCAGUGUGGCAGGUGCUGAGAAUCCUUCAAAGAUUUUUGGGAAGAUGGAAAAUGAAUCCAAAGUCAGUGUAACUUAAGACCUCAACCCAGGGGGCAUCUCAAAACUACUCAGAAAGACUUACGAAGGCACACCCUUCAUGCUACCCUGAAGGUUCUGACUCAGUAGCUUGGAAGUAGGGCCUGUGCAGAUGCAUUCGUAAAAGCUCCUAGGUGACUAACACUCCAAUCGAUAAAGAGUUGGGUAGAGAAUGUUGAAAUGAGGAGAAUGAGGGAUAAUUAGCCACACAAAGAAACAAAAAGGAGCUCUAACCCAAGGACUUCCUCACAUGAAGUCUACCAUAUUCCCAUGAGAUUUUAUAUGAGAUUUUGAGUGGAUAUCCAUUUUUCUGGGGGAAAAUGAACCAAUAGUGUUUAUAAGAUUCUGAAGGAAGACUAAAACCACUCCAAAAUUAAGAACCGCUAGGAAUACACACUGUGAAAAUGCGAAGGUAAAUGUGAGAAAUCAUGGCUAUACAAUUAAAAGAAUGCCAUGACCUUGUAGAUUGCAUGGGGAUAAAAAUUGUAGCAGGGAAGAAAGAAGUAGAAAAAAUUAAUAUAAAUGUGUCCACCUUUGACACUAGAAGGAUGAGAACCAUGAUAAUCCUUCUGUGAACCAGCAUCCCCCCCAUCAACUAUUUCAGUUAAAAGAACUUUGAUAUCCCGCAUGUUGGACUCAUGGUGUGAAUGUGACUCUCAAAGGUAAGGUGUCAAACAGUAAUGAAAAUUUUGGAGGUGAUUACAUAGCUUUGAACAUCAUUUCUGUAGAAAGCUGGUUGAACACGCUGAAGUCAUAAAUAGGCAUCUUUUAUCCUAUUUCUCCCUUUGACUGACUUUCACUUCCCAGGUAAUCUAGAGUGACUAUAGAAGCUACACUAUGUUGUUUUUCAGCCAGAGGAAUAAGAGGAGAAUAAUAAGGAUGCUAUCUAUACUUCCUUUUAAAGAAGAUUUCUGGAAACCUUCCACUCUACCCUUAAAACUUAGCAGGUACACAAAGCUUUUGGGAGAAUAGGUACAUGGAAGUGUAGGCUUUAUUCUGGGUAUUUGUUCAUCCAGCUGAAUACCAGAGGAAUAGAGUAGAGGAGUUCCUACUGUGGCUCAGUGGGUUACAAACCCGACUAGUAUCCAUGAGGACGCAGGUUCAAUCCCCGGAUUAAGGAUCUGGUGUUGCCUUGAGCUGUGGUGAGGAUUGUAGAAUGGCUCAAAUUACAUGUUGCUGUGGCUGUGGCCAGCAGCUGUAGCUCUGAUUCGACCCCUAGUCUGAGAACUUCUAUAUGCCAGAGGUGCAGCCCAAAAGAAG
rnacentral:lncRNA from 1 species